rnacentral:rRNA from 1 species
CUACGUGCCAGCAGCCGCGGUAAUACGUAGGUGGCAAGCGUUGUCCGGAAUUAUUGGGCGUAAAGCGCGCGCAGGCGGAUCAGUCAGUCUGUCUUAAAAGUUCGGGGCUUAACCCCGUGAUGGGAUGGAAACUGCUGAUCUAGAGUAUCGGAGAGGAAAGUGGAAUUCCUAGUGUAGCGGUGAAAUGCGUAGAUAUUAGGAAGAACACCAGUGGCGAAGGCGACUUUCUGGACGAAAACUGACGCUGAGGCGCGAAAGCAUGGGGAGCGAACAGGAUUAGAUACCCUGGUAGUCCAUGCCGUAAACGUUGGGCACUAGGUGUGGGGGACAUUCCACGUUUUCCGCGCCGUAGCUAACGCAUUAAGUGCCCCGCCUGGGGAGUACGGCCGCAAGGCUAAAACUCAAAGAAAUUGACGGGGGCCCGCACAAGCGGCGGAGCAUGCGGAUUAAUUCGAUGCAACGCGAAGAACCUUACCAAGGCUUGACAU